rnacentral:tRNA from 1 species
AGCAGCGUGGCUCAGUGGAAAGAGCCCGGGCUUGGGAGUCAGAGGUCAUGGAUUCAAAUCCCAGCUCUGCUA